rnacentral:misc_RNA from 1 species
UGUCCGACGGUGGGUGUGGGUGGGCAUGUUAGUGGUGGUGGUUAUGGGAAUAUGCUUCGUAAGUUUGGACUUACGGUUGAUAAUUUAUUGGAUGCUCGAUUGGUUGAUGUUAAUGGUAGAAUUUUGGAUCGUAAAGCCAUGGGUGAAGAUUUAUUCUGGGCGAUUAAAGGCGGUGGUGGUGCUAGUUUUGGUGUUAUUCUGGCCUUUCAAAUUCAACUCGUUACAUUACCACAAACCGUAACUUAUUUCAGAGUUGAAAGGUUUAUACAAGAUACUACUACCACUGAUGCUGUUGUUCAAUGGCAGAAUGUUGCUAGUAAAAUCGAUAAUGAUCUGUAUAUAAGGCUACUCAUACAACCAAUUACUGUGAAAAGCAAGUCCAAG